CCAGCAGCUGCGGUAAUUCCAGCUCCAAUAGCGUAUAUUUAAGUUGUUGCAGUUAAAAAGCUCGUAGUUGGAUUUCGGGCAGGUCGAAGCGGUCCGCCUCUGGUGUGUACUACUUUGGCUUGUCUUUGUGUCGGAGACCGAUCUCACUAAUCAUGGGACGCGGAUUCGGCAAGGUUACUUUGAGUAAAUUAGAGUGUUCAAAGCAGGCGAUCGCCCUGAAUACAUUAGCAUGGAAUAGCAUGAUAGGACUCUGGCCUAUCUUGCUGGUCUGUAGGACCGGAGUAAUGAUUAAGAGGGACUGCCGGGGGCAUUCGUAUUUCAUGGUCAGAGGUGAAAUUCUUGGAUUCAUGAAAGACGAACAUCUGCGAAAGCAUUUGCCAAGAAUGUUUUCAUUGAUCAAGAACGAAAGU
rnacentral:rRNA from 1 species